GAGUGAACACAGCUCUUUAAGAAGUUUUUCUAACAGGAUUUCUGAUUCUAGUCAGAAAAUCCACG